CGAGAGUGGUUUAACGAAAAGCUACAACUGAAAACGUGUGAAUUUUGAUGUCUAUAUGAACUUCUAAAUAAUAUCGCUAAGAUGACUUUGUGAAACUCGUUCGAAAAAAGAGUGACAACAGUUAUUGCGUGAAUUUCAGUGUAAUAUGCAAAUAUUGGCCACAGAACGCCAUAUUUGAAAGCCCCGUAGUCAAGCUGUUAUCUUCGACCCUGUUUGUUCUCCAUGUGAUAUAUAGAAUAUGAAACUGUCCAUCCU